UACGGAGGGGGCUAGCGUUGUUCGGAAUUACUGGGCGUAAAGCGCACGUAGGCGGUCUUUUAAGCCAGAGGUGAAAGCCCGGGGCUCAACUCCGGAAUUGCCUUUGAAACUGGAAGACUUGAACACGGGAGAGGUGAGUGGAAUUCCGAGUGUAGAGGUGAAAUUCGUAGAUAUUCGGAGGAACACCAGUGGCGAAGGCGGCUCACUGGACCGUUGUUGACGAUGAGGUGCGAAAGCGUGGGGAGCAAACAGG
rnacentral:rRNA from 1 species